UACGAAGGGGGCGAGCGUUGUUCGGAUUUACUGGGCGUAAAGGGCGCGCAGGCGGCUCAUUUUGUCAGGCGUGAAAGCCCCGGGCUUAACCUGGGAACUGCGCUUGAUACGGAUGGGCUAGAGUUCGGGAGAGGAGAGUGGAAUUCCCAGUGUAGAGGUGAAAUGCGCAGAUAUCAGGAGGAACACCAAUGGCGAAGGCAGCUCGCUGGGACGGUACUGACGCUGAGGCGCGACAGCGUGGGGAGCAAACAGG
rnacentral:rRNA from 1 species